AUUGAACACUGGCGGCAUGCUUUACACAUGCAAGUCGAACGGUAACAGGCCGCAAGGUGCUGACGAGUGGCGAACGGGUGAGUAAUGCAUCGGAACGUGCCCAGUCGUGGGGGAUAACGCAGCGAAAGCUGUGCUAAUACCGCAUACGAUCUAUGGAUGAAAACGGGGGACCGUAAGGCCUCGCGCGAUUGGAGCGGCCGAUGUCAGGUUAGGUAGUUGGUGGGGUAAAGGCCUGCCAAGCCGACGAUCUGUAGCUGGUCUGAGAGGACGACCAGCCACACUGGGACUGAGACACGGCCCAGACUCCUACGGGAGGCAGCAGUGGGGAAUUUUGGACAAUGGGCGCAAGCCUGAUCCAGCAAUGCCGCGUGCAGGAAGAAGGCCUUCGGGUUGUAAACUGCUUUUGUACGGAACGAAACGGUCUGGGUUAAUACCCUGGGCUAAUGAUGGUACCGUAAGAAUAAGCACCGGCUAACUACGUGCCAGCCGCCGCCGUAACAC
rnacentral:rRNA from 1 species